rnacentral:rRNA from 1 species
GUGCCAGCCGCCGCGGUAAUACCGGCAGCCCGAGUGAUGGCCGAUCUUAUUGGGCCUAAAGCGUCCGUAGCUGGGUCUGAAAGUCCAUCGGGAAAUCCACUCGCUCAACGAGUGGCCGUCCGGUGGAAACUCCACACCUUGGGGCCGGAAGGCUCGAAGGGUACGUCCGGGGUAGGAGUGAAAUCCUGUAAUCCCGUCCGGACCACCGAUGGCGAGAGCACUUCGAGAAAACGGAUCCGACUGUGAGGGACGAAAGCUAGGAUCGCGAACCGGAUUAGAUACCCAAGUAGUCC